UGAGGGUCGCAGAAGAUGACUGCGUUGAUAGGCUAUAGGUGGAAGUGCAGUAAUGUAUGGAGCCGAGUAGUACUAAUCGCCCGACAGCUUCCUUUUU
rfam:Lewinella sp. 4G2 scaffold2_cov53_read170, whole genome shotgun sequence.